rnacentral:lncRNA from 1 species
AUGGUAUCAAGUAGCAACACUAUUUAUACAUUAUAUUAUGACAUGCAUUAUUUUUGCUAAUUGUAUAUGUUUUUUUUUUCAGAUCAGAUUUAAUGUAGGCACGUGGAGAAACAACACUGAAAUUUAUUAACAUUAAUAAUGGCUUAGAUUAUUUUAUUUUAUUUUGUUAUGUUUUAAUGUGUUUGAUGAUAUUAUUUAGAUUUGACUCCGUCAUGUCAGACUACAUACUUCUUUUUCCUCUUUG